CUACGGGAGGCAGCAGUGGGGAAUUUUGGACAAUGGGGGCAACCCUGAUCCAGCCAUGCCGCGUGUAUGAAGAAGGCCUUAGGGUUGUAAAGUACUUUUGUUAGGGAAGAAAAGUCAGCUGUGAAUAAUGGCUGAUACUGACGGUACCUAAAGAAUAAGCACCGGCUAACUACGUGCCAGCAGCCGCGGUAAUACGUAGGGUGCGAGCGUUAAUCGGAAUUAUUGGGCGUAAAGCGAGUGUAGACGGUUAUUUAAGCCAGAUGUGAAAUACCCGAGCCUAACUUGGGAGGUGCAUAUGGAACUGGGUAGCUAGAGUGUGUCAGAGGGAGGUAGAACUCCACGUGUAGCAGUGAAAUGCGUAGAGAUGUGGAAGAAUACCGAUGGCGAAGGCAGCCUCCUGGGAUAACACUGACGUUGAGGCUCGAAAGCGUGGGGAGCAAACAGGAUUAGAUACCCUGGUAGUCCACGCCCUAAACGAUGACAAUUAGCUGUUGGCCCCAUUAAGGGGUGAGUAGCGAAGCUAACGCGUGAAAUUGUCCGCCUGGGGAGUACGGUCGCAAGAUUAAAACUCAAAGGAAUUGACG
rnacentral:rRNA from 1 species